rnacentral:rRNA from 1 species
GACGAACGCUGGCGGCGUGCUUAACACAUGCAAGUCGAACGGAAAGGCCCCUUUGGGGGUACUCGAGUGGCGAACGGGUGAGUAACACGUGAGUAACCUGCCCUUGACUUCGUGAUAACUUCAGGAAACUGGGGCUAAUACCGGAUAGGAAUCCGUGCUGCAUGGUGGGGGUUGGAAAGCUUCGGCGGUUUUGGAUGGACUCGCGGCUUAUCAGCUUGUUGGUGGGUAGUGGCUUACCAAGGCUUUGACUGGGAGCCGGGCUGAGAGGGCGAACGGCCACAUUGGGACUGAGAUACGGCCCAGACUCCCACGGGGGGGAGGCGUGGGGAAUAUUGCAAAAUGGGCGGAAGCCUGAUGCAGGCAAGCCGCGUGCGGGAUGAAGGGCUUCGGGUUGUAAAACGCCUUCAGCAGGGGAGAAGCUUGUGGUGACGGUAACUGGAGAAGAAGCACCGGCUAACUACGUG